UUUUCUUUCAUUUCAACAAACUGAUUAUUUUUUUUUUAUGAUGUAGAAAAAGUAUUUUAUUUUUAGUGGGUUGAGAAGUACAUGAAACAUGAGGAUUUUGGGGAAGGUGGGUUGAGAAGAGUAGUAUAAAAAAUUAUUUUCCUAAAAAUAUUUUAUACUCUCUAAUCAAACACUAGAAAAUAUUUUUUGGAAAAAGUUUUCACUCACCAACCAAACAAGGGAAAAUAAGUGAUAAAACCACUCAUUUUUCAUGAAAAUAUUUUCCUAUUUCCAUGAAAAACAUUUUCCUUGGUAUCAAACACACCCAAAGUCGAGAAGCUUUUAGACAGUUGGCUUUAUGUUGGUGCUUUGAUGUGUGGAACCCUUAUGGUUGGAAUUUCUAAAUACUCCUACCAAACUUGAAGAAGAUAAACAAAUAUUUUCUUAAUUGCAGAUUUCGAUGUACAUGUCAAGGAAAACCUGCACCAUGGAGCUUAUGCUUUGUGAAAUUCAGAUAUCAUCUUGUCCAAAUCAAUCACUUAACUACUGUUUGACUGUUCAUUUUGACUACUAUAGACAAAAGUGAGUAGGUUCUAGGAAGAACUUGCCCAAUAUGACAUUUUGGUUAUUAUCUGUCAAAGACUUGUGUAAAUUUUCUUGAUGGAGAAUGAGACAAAUCUUCUUGAGGCUGGGACAUAUACUGUUUAAACUAUUAGAUGCAUGAUACCAAAUUAAGUGGUGCUUUCCAUGUUUACAGGUUGUCUUGAUGAAUCCCACAUAGUAUUGUGAAACGGAAAAUAAAAAUCUGGCAUCACCAACUUCAUCAUAUUAAUCCUUUGGCUCCAACGGAAAUGUAAUUCUGGUAUUAACUGUAAUAUUCCUUUUCUGCUUAUAGACGAUUUUUCCAUUCAAGUGUUGUAUGAGGUGUUUGUCCCCUGGUCAGUUUUGUUACAAGGUCAAACAUUUAAGCACGUACAAAGACACCUUUUACUGCUCCUUUACCUCGCAAUUCUUCAACAAGAGUCUUGCUUGCUCUAGGAAAAAUAGCAAAUGCCAGUGAGAGGUUGUUGUACUUUAUGUUAGCAGUGCAAAAUUGGCCCUCAGUAGCAUUGGCAAAUGGCAACAUGUUCGUGUCAAGUUUCGAGGCAAUUAUAAAUUUGUGGUUGUAGGGUUAUACUAGAGUAAUAUUAUUUUUCAUUACUCUAUUUAA